GGAAGCCCUUGAAUCCUUGGAAGAAAAGAAAAGCAAGAACCCCGAGUUUCUUCUCCCACACGAGUCCCUAUCCCCUCCUUACAGGCGGUGAUCGAAAGCUUGUUUUUUGAAGCAAUUGAAAACCCCAUUUGGUCGAGAUUCCUGAGGUGCAGAACGUUAAAACUUAGGGCAUGCCCUAACUCCCUUUGUUAAUGGUCAGGUUGGCUCUGUAGUCGUUCGUCCACCCAUUUGGUAAAGGCGUUCAUCCAUGGAAGCUCCGGCAGCUAUUCACCCUCACCUUCGUAAACACAGGCUGGACAAACAUGAUGAAGAGUGAUGUAAUGAUGAUAGGCAGAAUUGAUUUCAUCAUUGUUUCAACUAUCCAACAGUAAUGAGAUUGGUAGACAUCAUCUUUCUUGACUCCCCAGUUGGUGUUGGCUUUUCCUACUUAAACUACUCCGAGGAUGUUCUGAACAAUGCAGAUAAAUGAACUGGUAUAACUUGAGAAUCUUUGAUGUGAAUUAGGGAAAAAACAAUUAAUCUUGGAGUAUAUAUGGUAUGGAGCUUCUUCUUGGAGAAUUAAAGACUGGUCAUUGUACAUUGGAACUGAAUAAACAAUAAACUACUAUAUUGUAUUUGUAAUGCAUGUGGGAAAUGCUUUGACCAAUGAUUUCACUGACCAUAUGGAAGUUUUCCAGUUUAUGUGGUCUAUGGGUUUGAUUUAUUGGUAACCUACAAGCUUAU